rnacentral:rRNA from 1 species
ACCGACCUGGCUCACACCGGUUUAAACUCAGAUCAUGUAAAAUUUUAAAGGUCGAACAGACCUAAUUUAUUAGCUUCUUCACCAACAAUAAAUUUUAAUCCAACAUCGAGGUCGCAAUCUUUUUCUUCGAUAAGAACUCUAAAAAAAAUAACGCUGUUAUCCCUAAGGUAAUUUAAUCUUCUAAUCCAAAUAUUUAGGAUCACUUAUUUACAAAUCAGUAUUUCAAUAAUAAAAAGUUUUAUAAAUUUUUCUAUCACCCCAAUAAAAUAAUUUUAAAAAAAUAAUUUAAAAUUUCUAAAUAAAAUUCAUUCUCUAAAAAUAUCAAACUCUAUAGGGUCUUCUCGUCUUCUACAUCCAUUUAAGCUUUUUCACUUAAAAAUAAAAUUCUAAUAAAUUACUACAGAGACAGAAAUUUUCUCAUCGAACCUUUCAUUCUAGCUUUCAAUUAAAAAACAAAUGAUUAUGCUACCUUUGUACAGUCAAUAUACUGCAGCCAUUUAAUAUCUCAUAGGGCAGGUCAGACCUAAAAUUAUACUCAAUAAGCCAUGUUUUUAAUA